CCAUGGGGACAAGAUGGUGGCCAUGGGGACGUCGUGUUGGCCAUGGGGUCUUCUUGUUGGCCAUGGGUCUUCACAUUGGCCAUGGGGUGUUCACGUUGGCCACGUGGACUUCAUGUUGACCAAGGGGAUGAGGUGGUGGCCAUGGGGACAAGAUGGUGGCCAUGGGGUCUUCUUGUUGGCCAUGGGGACGUCAUGUUGGCCAUGGGGUCUUCAUGGUGACCAUGGGGUCUUCAUGUUGGCCAUGUUGUCUUCAUGGUGACCUAGGGGAUGAGGUGGUGGCCAUGGGGACAAGAUGGUGGCCAUGGGUUCUUCACGUUGGCCAUGGGGACGUCAUGUUGGCCAUGGGGUCUUCAUGUUGACCGAGGGGAUGAGGUGGUGGCCAUGGGGAGGUCGUGUUGGCCAUGGGGACAAGAUGGUGGCCAUGGGGACGUUGUGUUGGCCAUGGGGUCUUCACGUUGGCCAUGGGGUCUUCAUGGUGACCAAGGGGAUGAGGUGGUGGCCACAGGGUCUUCGUGUUGGCCAUGGGUUCUUCACGUUGGCCAUGGGAUCUUCACGUUGGCCAUGGGGUCUUCACGUUGGCCAUGUUGCCUUCAUGUUGACCAAGGGGAUGAGGUGGUGGCCAUGGGGGCAAGAUGGUGGCCAUGGGGUCUUCUUGUUGGCCAUGGAGAUGUCAUGUUGGCCAUGGGGUCUUCAUGUUGGCCAUGUUGCCUUCAUGGUGACCUAGGGGAUGAGGUGGUGGCCAUGGGGACAAGAUGGUGGCCAUGGGGACGUCAUGUUGGCCAUGGGUUCUUCACGUUGCCCAUGGGUCUUCAUGUUGGCCAUGGGGACGUCAUGUUGGCCACGGGGUCUUCACGUUGGCCACGGGGUCUUCCCCGUUGACCGCCGCGCGGCGUUGUCCGCCAGGUGAACGAGGCGGAGGAGGAGCGGCUGCGCAGCG
rnacentral:lncRNA from 1 species